CUGGAAGUUCCACUGUUCCAAGUGCACUGGAUGGAGAAAACGUUUUUUCUUUUUCUUUUUUCUUUUUUCUUUUUUGAGUGGUUAAUGCGGGAGGCUUGAGAACCAAAUUGUAGUUUUCUUAUUGGAAGUCUAGGCAAGACAGGUAUCCAAUCCAAUUUAAACGACCUCCAAAAUAAUUUUAUGUAGAAAAAUGCUACGAGUUAAAAUGCUACUGACCGUCCUUACAAUGACUUCAGGACAGUGGUCACUUCUCCCAUAAUAACAAACAUUCCGGUUCAAUGCAGCGUAAUGAUAAAGUCUUAAUGUUUAUAUGGUUCACAAGUAGUACGUCUAGGUCCAAGGUUUAAAAUAUUCAUAAUUUUUGCAAUUUUUCUUUGAAAUUACUGUAUUUUAAGACAAUGUAUCCAGAUUUAGCUGCUAUUUAUCAUAAAAUAUUUAAAAAUCAAAGAAUCAAUCCACUCAAUCAAGAAUCAGAAGAAGAUGUAGAUAUUGAUCCAGAUGAAGACGAUACCUACCAAUAUGGAGAUGAAGAAAACCACAACAUCAACAACAUGUUGGAUGCCUGAAGUCAAAAUCAACAUCAAGAAUCUCUGACAACACAAAGUUGCUUUUCAGAAAUUCCAAAUCAAGACAAAUCAGACAGAUCACGAGAUUUUACUGUUCAAUCACUAUUUAUGAACAAUAAAAGGAGCCGAAAGCAAAUCACUAUUCACCGACAGAGCACUAUUCAAUCAACCGACAGAGCACUGUUCAAUCACUGUUCAAUCAACUAUUCACAAGACCUCCUUUGCCUAUAUAAAGGAGUCUCAUUUUCAUUUGUAAUCAAGUUUUUCCUUUUGGAGUUUUUUCCUACUGAAGCUAAGAGUGAGUUUAGAGAGUUUCUGGCAGAUUUCUCCUCUUUUCUCAAUCUUCUUCUAUCCCAAAAAACUCUGUAAUCAAUUUAUUUAUCCUGAGUGUUGAGUGUUGAGUGCUUGUAACACUUUGGUUCUUCGUAAUCAAGUAAGCAUUCAUAUUUAUCAUUCAUUAUUUAUUUCUCAUUUACAUUAUUUAUUUUUCAUAUAUUGCUUGGCUGGUUAUACCGCCUUCAAUAUUUACAUUUAAUUAUUUUAUAUUUAUAUUUUAUAUUUCAUUGUUCUUGGCUGGCUUUGCCGCCUUUAACUUUUGUCAUUUUUAUUUCCUUCCGCUUAAUCUUAUUCUACUCUGUUCUUAUCUCUAUUCUUCUUAAUCUUGUUGUAUACUCUACACAUUCUCCCUUGUUGGUAUCAGAGCCAUAAGUGUUCCGAUCUAUAUGCUUGUUUUUCUUUUAGCACCCGUAGAGUAUUAUAUCUGCUUAAUUCAUUCAUUUAUUUAUUUUAAUUAUUUAUUUUCAUAUAUUGCUUGGCUGGUUCAACCGCCUUCAAUAUUAUUUUGUUUAAUCAUUUAUUUUAAUUAUUUUAAUUAUUUAUUUUAUUUUCAUAUCAUUUUCAUUUAGAUUUAUAUUUUAUAUAUUUCAUUUAAUUCAUUGUUCAACAAGGGAGAAUGUGUAGAGUAUACAACAAGAUUAAGAAGAACAGAGAUAAGAACAGAGUAGAAUAAGAUUAAACGGAAGGAAAUGAAAAUGACAAAAGUUAAAGGCGGCAAACCCAGCCAAGAACAAUGAAAUAUAAAAUAUAAAUAUAAAAUAAUUAAAUGAAAAUAUUGAAGGCGGUAUAACCAGCCAAGCAAUAUAUGAAAAAUAAAUAAUGUAAAUGAGAAAUAAAUAAUGAAUGAUAAAUAUGAAUGCUUACUUGAUUACGAAGAACCAAAGUGUUACAAGCACUCAACACUCAACACUCAGGAUAAAUAAAUUGAUUACAGAGUUUUUUGGGAUAGAAGAAGAUUGAGAAAAGAGGAGAAAUCUGCCAGAAACUCUCUAAACUCACUCUUAGCUUCAGUAGGAGUGAAGAGCUGUCCAAUCAAAAAUAUUUUAUGUCAAAGCUACCGUCGUUAUUAUAGAUAUUUUAUUUACAUUUUUUUUAAAGUAUUUUUCUUUUUUUUUACAUCUUUCAUAUGUUCCUGUCCAGUAGUUGGCGGACGAGCCGUAGCACUUACCCCAUAGGGAGGUAUCGUUCACGUUUGGUGAAACGCAUGCUGGUUCUCUUCAGCAGAAAGUGGUUGGUUCUUUAGUUAUUGGUUCUUUUGCAACCAAGGCAUAUUUAUAAAGGAUCAAAUCCACGAAUAUUAGUCAUAAUACAUAUGGUUAUGGAUUAAUGCUUGCUGAGAAUUUGGAUGAAGAUAGAGAAUUGCUCAAGAAUAAUACUCGAUGCAGCUCAUGACCAGAGAAGCUUGGUUUCAAAAAAAAAGUUUUCAUGGAUUAGAUGGUCACUCUUCGGUGCCAAGUCCAUGACUUAUCCUAUUCACCCAAAAAAAAAAAAAAAAAAAAAAAAAAAAGGGGGGGGGGGGGGGGGGUUCCAUGACUUAUCCAUGACACACCAAUUUUUACCAAAUCCUGAAAAUUUUGAGCUUCGGUCAAACUUGAAGAGAAUCACAGAUUUUGAUCCUCAUGAACUGCCUUACUCGACUUCUCUAAUAUAUCUCAAAAGGUUUUCACAAUUUAGUGAAACUUGUGGUAUGCCAAUACCAUGCUUAUGAUGAAUGGAACUAAAUAAUGGUGGUGAAGAUUGAGGAACUUAAGGAAAAUUGCAGAAUGCAUUGCAGAACAAGUCAUAAAACUAUAGUUGUUCAUGUCUAAAACUACUUUGUUGCACUUGAUAAGAUAAGAAAAAUAAUAGAGCAAGAAAAUUGUCGCUGUACUUUGAAAUCUUUCAUAAACUUUUUACUCUCAAAUCUUUCAUAAACAUUUUUGAGGUAGUGAUUUUCUAUAGUAUCACUUGCAUCUGUUUAUUCUGUGAACAACAAAUCUUGUAAUAUAUUGUGGUCGAGUAAAAAUAGAAGAAUUUUCUAAAUAUAGCAUUAGGAUCUCUUGAGGAAAGCUGAUUCUGAAUAGCAAGCAGAUUGCUACGUGUACGUGUAACAUUGAUAUUUCUCUUCACAUUAAUAUAUUACACUACUGAUUACCUUUCUAUUCUAUAUAUUUCUUAAAAAUAUACACCGUGGGAUAAUACUCCAACCUCUCUUUCCCACUCAUUUUAUAGCUCUUCUUGUUUCCCACUGCAAUCCAACGACUUUUUUCCUAAGACUAGCUAGCUUUUUUCUUGGUACAAACUAGUCAGUUUAACUUUGGGGAUAGUUAGGAUAUACC